AGACGGUGGACUGCGGAGGGAUCAUU
rnacentral:rRNA from 1 species